CCCAGCAUGGCAUAGUGGGUUUGAGUGUUGGACUGUGAUUCUGGAGACUAGGGUUCAAUUCCCUGCUUGGG
rnacentral:tRNA from 1 species